rnacentral:tRNA from 1 species
GAGGGUAUAGCUCAGUGGUAGAGUGCAUGCUUGCCAUGCACGAGGUCCUGGGUUCAAUCUUGGAUACCUCCA